UAUCUCUGUUCUAGUCCAUAUAUGGGAGAGAACCAUCAUCCCUGUAGUGGUUUCAGAACAAGAUGUGGUCUUGAGUCUUGACAGACUAUGAUUAUCUGAUUGACUGUACGGUAAGAAUCUAUGAAUCACAUACUACCAUCUGGUUAAGUCAAUUUUAAGACUUUGGAGAUGCAGAUGCAGUCAGCCCUGUAUAGAUAAUUGCAGAUGCAGAUGCAAUGGGACUUGGGAAGACUGAUGACAAUUUCUCUGAUACUUGCAAGACCACGCAGAGAUAACUCCGAAGUAGAUUCACAUAGCAGUACCCAUGGAAGCGAAAGGGUGGCACUCUUGUUGUCUGUCCUGCGUCCUCUCUAAGCCAGUGGAAGGGGAAGAGAAACUAACCUUAAAAGGAUCUCUAAAAAAGAUGUGGUGUUGACAGAAUAUGAUGUUUUGGCUGAUGCUUAUGCAAAGCAUUUUCCACCAGGUUGAGUGGUUUCGAGCGGUGCUUGAUGAAGCUCACACUAUCAAGUCUUCUUGCUCCCAACUUGAAGAGGCUGCUGAAUCAUUGUUGAUAAGAGCAUAUAAUGAUACGUUCUUAAU